AGGACGAACGCUGGCGGCGUGCUUAACACAUGCAAGUCGAGCGAGGCCCUUCCUUCGGGAAGGUGUCCUAGCGGCGAACGGGUGAGUAACACGUGAGUAAUCUGCCUUCAGCUCUGGGAUAGCUCCGGGAAACCGGGAUUAAUACCGGAUAUGACUGCCUUGGACAUCUGGGGUGGUGGAAAGUUUUUCGGCUGGAGAUGAGCUCGCGGCCUAUCAGCUUGUUGGUGGGGUAAAGGCCUACCAAGGCGACGACGGGUA
rnacentral:rRNA from 1 species